rnacentral:rRNA from 1 species
GACGAACGCUGGCGGCGUGCUUAACACAUGCCAGUCGAACGGAAAGGCUCCAGCUUGCUGGAGUACUCGAGUGGCGAACGGGUGAGUAACACGUGGGUAAUCUGCCCUGCACUCUGGGAUAAGCCUGGGAAACUGGGUCUAAUACUGGAUAUGACCUUUCUCCUUAUAGGGUUUGGUGGAAAGUUUUUCGGUGUAGGAUGAGCCCGCGGCCUAUCAGCUUGUUGGUGGGGUGAUGGCCUACCAAGGCGACGACGGGUAGCCGGCCUGAGAGGGUGAUCGGCCACAUUGGGACUGAGAUACGGCCCAGACUCCUACGGGAGGCAGCAGUGGGGAAUAUUGCACAAUGGGCGGAAGCCUGAUGCAGCGACGCCGCGUGAGGGAUGACGGCCUUCGGGUUGUAAACCUCUUUCAGCAGGGACGAAGCGUAAGUGACGGUACCUGCAGAAGAAGCACCGGCUAACUAUGUG